GGAUUUGUCUAGCUGAUUGAUGUGGGAUUCAAAACGUAGACUAGAAUCAAACAUUAUACCAAGAUUGUGUAUAGUGGAAGAGGGAUGGAC